rnacentral:rRNA from 1 species
GAACGGGUGAGUAACACGUGGGUGAUCUGCCCUGCACUCUGGGAUAAGCCUGGGAAACUGGGUCUAAUACCGGAUAGGACCACACACUUCAUGGUGAGUGGUGCAAAGCUUUUGCGGUGUGGGAUGAGCCCGCGGCCUAUNNGCUUGUUGGUGGGGUAAUGGCNNNNCAAGGCGACGACGGGUAGCCGGCCUGAGAGGGUGACCGGCCACACUGGGACUGAGAUACGGCCCAGACUCCUACGGGAGGCAGCAGUGGGGAAUAUUGCACAAUGGGCGCAAGCCUGAUGCAGCGACGCCGCGUGAGGGAUGACGGCCUUCGGGUUGUAAACCUCUUUCAGUAGGGACGAAGCGAAAGUGACGGUACCUACAGAAGAAGGACCGGCCAACUACGUGCCAGCAGCCGCGGUAAUACGUAGGGUCCGAGCGUUGUCCGGAAUUACUGGGCGUAAAGAGCUCGUAGGUGGUUUGUCGCGUUGUUCGUGAAAACUCACAGCUUAACUGUGGGCGUGCGGGCGAUACGGGCAGACUAGAGUACUGCAGGGGAGACUGGAAUUCCUGGUGUAGCGGUGGAAUGCGCAGAUAUCAGGAGGAACACCGGUGGCGAAGGCGGGUCUCUGGGCAGUAACUGACGCUGAGGAGCGAAAGCGUGNGUAGCGAACAGGAUUAGAUACCCUGGUAGUCCACGCCGU